rnacentral:rRNA from 1 species
GGGUUGUGAGGUUAAGCGACUAAGCGUACACGGUGGAUGCCCUGGCAGUCAGAGGCGAUGAAGGACGUGCUAAUCUGCGAUAAGCGUCGGUAAGGUGAUAUGAACCGUUAUAACCGGCGAUUUCCGAAUGGGGAAACCCAGUGUGAUUCGUCACACUAUCAUUAACUGAAUCCAUAGGUUAAUGAGGCGAACCGGGGGAACUGAAACAUCUAAGUACCCCGAGGAAAAGAAAUCAACCGAGAUUCCCCCAGUAGCGGCGAGCGAACGGGGAGCAGCCCAGAGCCUGAAUCAGUGUGUGUGUUAGUGGAAGCGUCUGGAAAGGCGCGCGAUACAGGGUGACAGCCCCGUACACAAAAAUGCACAUGCUGUGAGCUCGAUGAGUAGGGCGGGACACGUGGUAUCCUGUCUGAAUAUGGGGGGACCAUCCUCCAAGGCUAAAUACUCCUGACUGACCGAUAGUGAACCAGUACCGUGAGGGAAAGGCGAAAAGAACCCCGGCGAGGGGAGUGAAAAAGAACCUGAAACCGUGUACGUACAAGCAGUGGGAGCACGCUUAGGCGUGUGACUGCGUACCUUUUGUAUAAUGGGUCAGCGACUUAUAUUCUGUAGCAAGGUUAACCGAAUAGGGGAGCCGAAGGGAAACCGAGUCUUAACUGGGCGUUAAGUUGCAGGGUAUAGACCCGAAACCCGGUGAUCUAGCCAUGGGCAGGUUGAAGGUUGGGUAACACUAACUGGAGGACCGAACCGACUAAUGUUGAAAAAUUAGCGGAUGACUUGUGGCUGGGGGUGAAAGGCCAAUCAAACCGGGAGAUAGCUGGUUCUCCCCGAAAGCUAUUUAGGUAGCGCCUCGUGAAUUCAUCUCCGGGGGUAGAGCACUGUUUCGGCAAGGGGGUCAUCCCGACUUACCAACCCGAUGCAAACUGCGAAUACCGGAGAAUGUUAUCACGGGAGACACACGGCGGGUGCUAACGUCCGUCGUGAAGAGGGAAACAACCCAGACCGCCAGCUAAGGUCCCAAAGUCAUGGUUAAGUGGGAAACGAUGUGGGAAGGCCCAGACAGCCAGGAUGUUGGCUUAGAAGCAGCCAUCAUUUAAAGAAAGCGUAAUAGCUCACUGGUCGAGUCGGCCUGCGCGGAAGAUGUAACGGGGCUAAACCAUGCACCGAAGCUGCGGCAGCGACGCUGAUGCGUUGUUGGGUAGGGGAGCGUUCUGUAAGCCUGUGAAGGUGUGCUGUGAGGCAUGUUGGAGGUAUCAGAAGUGCGAAUGCUGACAUAAGUAACGAUAAAGCGGGUGAAAAGCCCGCUCGCCGGAAGACCAAGGGUUCCUGUCCAACGUUAAUCGGGGCAGGGUGAGUCGACCCCUAAGGCGAGGCCGAAAGGCGUAGUCGAUGGGAAACAGGUUAAUAUUCCUGUACUUGGUGUUACUGCGAAGGGGGGACGGAGAAGGCUAUGUUGGCCGGGCGACGGUUGUCCCGGUUUAAGCGUGUAGGCUGGUUUUCCAGGCAAAUCCGGAAAAUCAAGGCUGAGGCGUGAUGACGAGGCACUACGGUGCUGAAGCAACAAAUGCCCUGCUUCCAGGAAAAGCCUCUAAGCAUCAGGUAACAUCAAAUCGUACCCCAAACCGACACAGGUGGUCAGGUAGAGAAUACCAAGGCGCUUGAGAGAACUCGGGUGAAGGAACUAGGCAAAAUGGUGCCGUAACUUCGGGAGAAGGCACGCUGAUAUUUAGGUGAAGCGACUUGCUCGUGGAGCUGAAAUCAGUCGAAGAUACCAGCUGGCUGCAACUGUUUAUUAAAAACACAGCACUGUGCAAACACGAAAGUGGACGUAUACGGUGUGACGCCUGCCCGGUGCCGGAAGGUUAAUUGAUGGGGUUAGCGCAAGCGAAGCUCUUGAUCGAAGCCCCGGUAAACGGCGGCCGUAACUAUAACGGUCCUAAGGUAGCGAAAUUCCUUGUCGGGUAAGUUCCGACCUGCACGAAUGGCGUAAUGAUGGCCAGGCUGUCUCCACCCGAGACUCAGUGAAAUUGAACUCGCUGUGAAGAUGCAGUGUACCCGCGGCAAGACGGAAAGACCCCGUGAACCUUUACUAUAGCUUGACACUGAACAUUGAGCCUUGAUGUGUAGGAUAGGUGGGAGGCUUUGAAGUGUGGACGCCAGUCUGCAUGGAGCCGACCUUGAAAUACCACCCUUUAAUGUUUGAUGUUCUAACGUUGACCCGUAAUCCGGGUUGCGGACAGUGUCUGGUGGGUAGUUUGACUGGGGCGGUCUCCUCCUAAAGAGUAACGGAGGAGCACGAAGGUUGGCUAAUCCUGGUCGGACAUCAGGAGGUUAGUGCAAUGGCAUAAGCCAGCUUGACUGCGAGCGUGACGGCGCGAGCAGGUGCGAAAGCAGGUCAUAGUGAUCCGGUGGUUCUGAAUGGAAGGGCCAUCGCUCAACGGAUAAAAGGUACUCCGGGGAUAACAGGCUGAUACCGCCCAAGAGUUCAUAUCGACGGCGGUGUUUGGCACCUCGAUGUCGGCUCAUCACAUCCUGGGGCUGAAGUAGGUCCCAAGGGUAUGGCUGUUCGCCAUUUAAAGUGGUACGCGAGCUGGGUUUAGAACGUCGUGAGACAGUUCGGUCCCUAUCUGCCGUGGGCGCUGGAGAACUGAGGGGGGCUGCUCCUAGUACGAGAGGACCGGAGUGGACGCAUCACUGGUGUUCGGGUUGUCAUGCCAAUGGCACUGCCCGGUAGCUAAAUGCGGAAGAGAUAAGUGCUGAAAGCAUCUAAGCACGAAACUUGCCCCGAGAUGAGUUCUCCCUGACUCCUUGAGAGUCCUGAAGGAACGUUGAAGACGACGACGUUGAUAGGCCGGGUGUGUAAGCGCAGCGAUGCGUUGAGCUAACCGGUACUAAUGAACCGUGAGGCUUAACCUUACAACGCCGAAGGUGUUU